rnacentral:lncRNA from 1 species
AGAAUGAUAUAUAGAUCAUAUUGGCAGCAUCAAGUAUAAAUACUUUUACAUAUUGCCUAUCAUUUUGAUAAAGCUGUAACUUUAACAUCAAUGGGUUGAUAAAGAGCUCAACGUUCAAGUUUCAUAACAUGGUUUUUUCGCAUAAAAAACGACGAAAACUGAAGUAGCUUUCCUCUAAAGAGAAUGAGAAAACAAGGAUCAACUAGAGGUGAAGAUCCUCCAGUAUAAAACAUCAUAAUAUGUGUCCAACUUGAGAAACCAGUUGGGAACUGACCUCAAGAGCUGCAGCUUGUUCCUCGUGAGAAACGAGCAGUCUACCCUUUCGUCCUCAUGAUUGUGAUGCUGCCCUUUCCACCUUCAGUGUGGAUUUUAGUCUUCCCAACAACAGGUUUCCCGGAGAAUGCUGAUGUGGGAUAAGCAGCACUAGGAUCAUCUUCUUCUGGUUUAGGCUUUGGCGGAUUGUGUAUCCUCUGGUUUAUGUCCUUAAGAGUCGUGUCUCCAAGAACACCACAUGGUUUGAUGAACGUGAACGGAUAGAUCACGGAUGAUGCCAGUUUAGGAGGUGUGCGCAUGAAUGAUUUUGUACCUAAUUAGUGAAAUGGAAAAGAGGGAUGCCAUUCUUGAAUGUGUUGUCUGAAAUAGACAUUUUGUUACAUGAUUUAACUGAAAAAAGGAAAAUAAAAAAAGGACUUAAUUUACCUUUAAAGACGAUGUUUCGAGGAGUAGUAAGGUUGUUCUCGACCAGAUUAGCUUCAAUUCAGGAGCAGUUUUGCAAAGCUCUGCAAUAACACGUUUACAUUUGCUUUGAGAGCUUGAGAGUGGGGAGAUGAAACGAAAAAGUCCAAGAUGAUUUUUACAUUACCCGUAACAUCAAUUUGAACGUCGGGUGCUUCACAUGCACUAGUGCUGUUGUUUACACAAAGGGCUAGUCAUGAACACUAUUUUACUUGAGAAAAAGAAAAGGUGAAAAGUGAUGCAAACAUACAAAAUCUUCGUUGCAGAGGUGCAUCUCGGCCUCAUUGAAGCAGUCAGUGAUCCACCCUUCAGAUGAAGGAUCCAAGCACUCGGUGCUGGCUGCAGGCAUGCCAUCUGUAUCAUAAUAAAAAACAUGUGUAUCUCAGACACGAGAUGUGUGAGAAACGAACCUGUGAAACCAGCAACCCACUGUGACAUGUCUGAAAUAGCAGCUUCAAGAGUCUNGUUGACAAGAGAUGAUAUGAUCGUGGGACAUUUUAUGGAAAUGUUAAAGGUUGAGAAUACAAAACAAUUAACAACAAUAAUAAUAAUCGCCUCAAAAAAAAAGAAACAACAACAACAACAAUAGUAGUAAUAAUAAUAAUAAUAAUAAUAAUAAAUCUUUUUUUACAACCAUAAAGCUUCUUAAUUACGGAUUGACUCUAUUACUAUAAUUUAAAACUAAAAUAACCCUUAAUUAUAAAUUAAUCUUUUUUUUAGAAUAUUAUAAAUUAAUCUUAUUUCGCCUAUGAUUCACACCAAAAUUAAUUAUAAAGUAAACUUAUUUUACGUACAAUCUACAAAGCACUAAAAGGAAUUCACGUGAAAUUUCAUUAUGGUUCGUCGCUGCAAACAUAGUUGGUAUGGUCGGAGUUUGAUCAACAGACAAAGAACUCCAGCAGUUUUCUGGCCUCUACCAAAUUUAGUUGAUCUUCAUCAAUUCACUUCCUUCUCGUAUAAAAUAGUGCAUUUUCAUGAAUGUCUACCAUUUCCAUUUGAUUUCUUGUUUGUGGUGGAGAAACUGCAUUACAAAUUAAGGUUCAAACCUUGUUUUUAUUUAUCUUCACUCAACCCCAAUGAUUUAUGAAUCAAUUCACAUACGCCUGCGCUCUACGUAACGCUAAAUUCUAAAAACACAAAAUCUUCUGCCAAAAAACGAGGAAAUAAAUAUGGUAGUGAAAUUUUGAAAUCUAAACCAACAUGUUUAAAAAAAAGAGAGAAUGAUAUAUAGAUCAUAUUGGCAGCAUCAAGUAUAAAUACUUUUACAUAUUGCCUAUCAUUUUGAUAAAGCUGUAACUUUAACAUCAAUGGGUUGAUAAAGAGCUCAACGUUCAAGUUUCAUAACAUGGUUUUUUCGCAUAAAAAACGACGAAAACUGAAGUAGCUUUCCUCUAAAGAGAAUGAGAAAACAAGGAUCAACUAUAGGUGAAGAUCCUCCAGUAUAAAACAUCAUAAUAUGUGUCCAACUUGAGAAACCAGUUGGGAACUGACCUCAAGAGCUGCAGCUUGUUCCUCGUGAGAAACGAGCAGUUUACCCUUUCGUCCUCAUGAUUGUGAUGCUGCCCUUUCCACCUUCAGUGUGGAUUUUAGUCUUCCCAACAACAGGUUUCCCGGAGAAUGCUGAUGUGGGAUAAGCAGCACUAGGAUCAUCUUCUUCUGGUUUAGGCUUUGGCGGAUUGUGUAUCCUCUGGUUUAUGUCCUUAAGAGUCGUGUCUCCAAGAACACCACAUGGUUUGAUGAACGUGAACGGAUA